UUAAGUUAUUAAGGGCGCACGGUGGAUGCCUUGGCACUAGAAGCCGAAGAAGGACGUUACUAACGACGAUAUGCUUUGGGGAGCUGUAAGUAAGCGUUGAUCCAGAGAUUUCCGAAUGGGGAAACCCAACAUGAGUUAUGUCAUGUUAUCGAUAUGUGAAUACAUAGCAUAUCAGAAGGCAGACCCGGAGAACUGAAACAUCUUAGUACCCGGAGGAAGAGAAAGAAAAAUCGAUUCCCUGAGUAGCGGCGAGCGAAACGGGAAGAGCCCAAACCAACAAGCUUGCUUGUUGGGGUUGUAGGACACUCUAUACGGAGUUACAAAAGUAUAUAUUAGACGAAUCAUCUGGAAAGUUGAAUCAAAGAAGGUAAUAAUCCUGUAGUCGAAAAUAUAUACUCUCUUGAGUGGAUCCUGAGUACGACGGAGCACGUGAAAUUCCGUCGGAAUCUGGGAGGACCAUCUCCUAAGGCUAAAUACUCUCUAGUGACCGAUAGUGAACCAGUACCGUGAGGGAAAGGUGAAAAGUACCCCGGAAGGGGAGUGAAAGAGAACUUGAAACCGUGUGCUUACAAGUAGUCAGAGCCCGUUAAUGGGUGAUGGCGUGCCUUUUGUAGAAUGAACCGGCGAGUUACGAUUUGAUGCAAGGUUAAGCAGUGAAUGUGGAGCCGUAGCGAAAGCGAGUCUGAAUAGGGCGUUGAGUAUUUGGUCGUAGACCCGAAACCAGGUGAUCUACCCUUGGUCAGGUUGAAGUUCAGGUAACACUGAAUGGAGGACCGAACCGACUUACGUUGAAAAGUGAGCGGAUGAACUGAGGGUAGCGGAGAAAUUCCAAUCGAACCUGGAGAUAGCUGGUUCUCUCCGAAAUAGCUUUAGGGCUAGCCUCAAGUGAUGAUUAUUGGAGGUAGAGCACUGUUUGGACGAGGGGCCCUUCUCGGGUUACCGAAUUCAGACAAACUCCGAAUGCCAAUCAAUUUAACUUGGGAGUCAGAACAUGGGUGAUAAGGUCCGUGUUCGAAAGGGAAACAGCCCAGACCACCAGCUAAGGUCCCAAAAUAUAUGUUAAGUGGAAAAGGAUGUGGCGUUGCCCAGACAACUAGGAUGUUGGCUUAGAAGCAGCCAUCAUUUAAAGAGUGCGUAAUAGCUCACUAGUCGAGUGACACUGCGCCGAAAAUGUACCGGGGCUAAACAUAUUACCGAAGCUGUGGAUUGUCCGUAGGACAAUGGUAGGAGAGCGUUCUAAGGGCGUUGAAGCAUGAUCGCAAGGACAUGUGGAGCGCUUAGAAGUGAGAAUGCCGGUGUGAGUAGCGAAAGACGGGUGAGAAUCCCGUCCACCGAUUGACUAAGGUUUCCAGAGGAAGGCUCGUCCGCUCUGGGUUAGUCGGGUCCUAAGCUGAGGCCGACAGGCGUAGGCGAUGGAUAACAGGUUGAUAUUCCUGUACCACCUAGUAUCGUUUUAAUCGAUGGGGGGACGCAGUAGGAUAGGCGAAGCGUGCUAUUGGAUUGCACGUCCAAGCAGUAAGACUGAGUGUUAGGCAAAUCCGGCACUCAUAAGGUCAAGCUGUGAUGGGGAGAGGAAAUUGUUUCCUCGAGUCGUUGAUUUCACACUGCCAAGAAAAGCCUCUAGAUAGAUAACAGGUGCCCGUACCGCAAACCGACACAGGUAGUCAAGAUGAGAAUUCUAAGGUGAGCGAGCGAACUCUCGUUAAGGAACUCGGCAAAAUGACCCCGUAACUUCGGGAGAAGGGGUGCUCUUUAGGGUUAACGCCCAGAAGAGCCGCAGUGAAUAGGCCCAAGCGACUGUUUAUCAAAAACACAGGUCUCUGCUAAACCGUAAGGUGAUGUAUAGGGGCUGACGCCUGCCCGGUGCUGGAAGGUUAAGAGGAGUAGUUAGCUUCUGCGAAGCUACGAAUCGAAGCCCCAGUAAACGGCGGCCGUAACUAUAACGGUCCUAAGGUAGCGAAAUUCCUUGUCGGGUAAGUUCCGACCCGCACGAAAGGCGUAACGAUUUGGGCACUGUCUCAACGAGAGACUCGGUGAAAUCAUAGUACCUGUGAAGAUGCAGGUUACCCGCGACAGGACGGAAAGACCCCGUGGAGCUUUACUGUAGCCUGAUAUUGAAAUUCGGCACAGCUUGUACAGGAUAGGUAGGAGCCUUUGAAACGUGAGCGCUAGCUUACGUGGAGGCAUUGGUGGGAUACUACCCUAGCUGUGUUGGCUUUCUAACCCGCACCACUUAUCGUGGUGGGAGACAGUGUCAGGUGGGCAGUUUGACUGGGGCGGUCGCCUCCUAAAAGGUAACGGAGGCGCUCAAAGGUUCCCUCAGAAUGGUUGGAAAUCAUUCAUAGAGUGUAAAGGCAUAAGGGAGCUUGACUGCGAGACUUACAAGUCGAGCAGGGUCGAAAGACGGACUUAGUGAUCCGGUGGUUCCGCAUGGAAGGGCCAUCGCUCAACGGAUAAAAGCUACCCCGGGGAUAACAGGCUUAUCUCCCCCAAGAGUUCACAUCGACGGGGAGGUUUGGCACCUCGAUGUCGGCUCAUCGCAUCCUGGGGCUGUAGUCGGUCCCAAGGGUUGGGCUGUUCGCCCAUUAAAGCGGUACGCGAGCUGGGUUCAGAACGUCGUGAGACAGUUCGGUCCCUAUCCGUCGUGGGCGUAGGAAAUUUGAGAGGAGCUGUCCUUAGUACGAGAGGACCGGGAUGGACAUACCUCUGGUGUACCAGUUGUCGUGCCAACGGCAUAGCUGGGUAGCUAUGUAUGGACGGGAUAAGUGCUGAAAGCAUCUAAGCAUGAAGCCCCCCUCAAGAUGAGAUUUCCCAACUUCGGUUAUAAGAUCCCUCAAAGAUGAUGAGGUUAAUAGGUUCGAGGUGGAAGCGUGGUGACACGUGGAGCUGACGAAUACUAAUCGAUCGAAGACUUAAUCAA
rnacentral:rRNA from 3 species